rnacentral:lncRNA from 1 species
GGCUCCAGGGCAUCGAAUUUGACCGACGGCAGAUGUUGGGAGGGGGUGUCGCACGGGCUGGAGCGCCAGGGAUUGAGGGACUGCACGAUGGCGAAUUCCCUUUUUUGUUUUUGGAGGGAUUUUUUUUUUUUCCCCCUCUUUUUUUUUUUUUUUUUUUUUUUCUUCCUUGCCUCUGCAGCCGAAGGAGGAGAUGUUGAGUGACCAGCGCUUGGAAGGGACCCGAGAACCUAGUUGGAAUGCCACACCAGCGAGGGGCGAGGGGCGGGAAGGAGAAGAACACGAACUGGAAGGGGGCGAAUACUAAAACUGAAAUGGAUUUGCACGUUCGGGACAAGGUGGCGGCGUCUCCUGGGCCUCCGCCUGCUGCAUCUCUGAAAUCAGUGAGGUGUAAAUGAGAAGACGUGUUUUUUUCCCUCACCGAUGCUCCAUCCUCGUAUUUUUUUUCCUUGUAAAUGUAAUCAGAUGCCAUUUUAUAUGUGGACGUAUUUAUACUGGCCAAACAUUUUUUAUUUUGUCCCUUUUUCCUUUCUUUUUUUUUGGUAGUUGUUCUUACCCACGCCAUUUUACGUCUCCUUCACUGAAGGGCUAGAGUUUUAACUUUUAAUUUUUUAUAUUUAAAUGUAGACUUUUGACACUUUUAAAAAAACAAAAAAAGACAAGAGAGAUGAAAACGUUUGAUUAUUUUCUCAGUGUAUUUUUGUAAAAAAUAUAUAAAGGGGGUGUUAAUCGGUGUAAAUCGCUGUUUGGAUUUCCUGAUUUUAUAAUAGGGCGGCUGGUUAAUAUCUCACACAGUUUUAAAAAAUCAGCCCCUAAUUUCUCCAUGUUUACACUUCAAUCUGCAGGCUUCUUAAAGUGACAGUAUCCCUUAACCUGCCACCAGUAUCCAUCCUUCGACCCCAGUCUUAUAGAUGGUGGGGGGAGAAUUAGCCAAACACUGUAUGCUUUUAAGAAAAACAAAUUUUUUUAAACAAAAUACUGUUUUAUCCAGAGGCUUUAAAACUGGUGCAUUUACAGCAAAAAAGGGAUCCUGUAGCUUUAACUUGUAAACCACAUCUUUUUUGCACUUUUUUUAUAAGCAAAAACGUGCCGUUUAAACCACUGGAUCUAUCUAAAUGCCGAUUUGAGUUCGCGACACUAUGUACUGCGUUUUUCAUUCUCGUAUUUGACUAUUUAAUCCUUUCUACUUGUCGCUAAAUAUAAUUGUUUUAGUCUUAUGGCAUGAUGAUAGCAUAUGUGUUCAGGUUUAUAGCUGUUGUGUUUAAAGAUUGAAAAAAGUGGAAAACAUCUUUGUACAUUUAAGUCUGUAUUAUAAUAAGCAAAAAGAUUGUGUGUAUGUAUGUUUAAUAUAACAUGACAGGCACUAGGACGUCUGCCUUUUAAGGCAGUUCCGUUAAGGGUUUUUGUUUUUAAACUUUUUUUUUUGCCAUCCAUCCUGUGCAAUAUGCCGUGUAGAAUAUUUGUCUUAAAAUCCAAGGCCACAAAAAACAAUGUUUAGGGGAAAAGGAAAAAGAAAAAAAAAUCAUGCCAGCUAAUCAUGUCAAGUUCACUGCCUGUCAGAUUGUUGAUAUAUACCUUCUGUAAAUAACUUUUUUUGAGAAGGAAAUAAAAUCAGCUGGAACUGAACCCUAAAUCUUGAC